rnacentral:rRNA from 1 species
GCCCACGGUGCCGCAUGGCACAGAGGGAAAAGGAGUAAUCCGCUUUGAGAUGGCCUCGCGUCCGAUUAGGUAGUUGGUGAGGUAACGGCCCACCAAGGCGACGAUCGGUAGCCGGACUGAGAGGUUGAACGGCCACAUUGGGACUGAGACACGGCCCAGACUCCUACGGGAGGCAGCAGUGGGGAAUAUUGCACAAUGGGGGAAACCCUGAUGCAGCGACGCCGCGUGGAGGAAGAAGGUCUUCGGAUUGUAAACUCCUGUUGUUGAGGAAGAUAAUGACGGUACUCAACAAGGAAGUGACGGCUAACUACGUGCCAGCAGCCGCGGUAAAACGUAGGUCACAAGCGUUGUCCGGAAUUACUGGGUGUAAAGGGAGCGCAGGCGGGAAGACAAGUUGGAAGUGAAAUCCAUGGGCUCAACCCAUGAACUGCUUUCAAAACUGUUUUUCUUGAGUAGUGCAGAGGUAGGCGGAAUUCCCGGUGUAGCGGUGGAAUGCGUAGAUAUCGGGAGGAACACCAGUGGCGAAGGCGGCCUACUGGGCACCAACUGACGCUGAGGCUCGAAAGUGUGGGUAGCAAACAGGAUUAGAUACCCUGGUAGUCCACACCGUAAACGAUGAUUACUAGGUGUUGGAGGAUUGACCCCUUCAGUGCCGCAGUUAACACAAUAAGUAAUCCGCCUGGGGAGUA